CACACUUUCAGCAUCCCUUCUGGAUAAAAUACAGGACUCCAUCAUUGCUGACAUAAACCUCCAGAUAUGUGGUGUUCUGAAGACUGUCAUUCACUUGGCAAAAGAUUUCCUCUUCAACAGUAUUAACGGUAAGAUUUUUGCAUCUGAUCCUGUCCUACACAGAACGUCUCUCCCCACUCACUUUCCCUUUCUGCCACUCUGAAAACGUUUCCUUGUCUAUUCCUUUGAACGGAAUGGCAACAUUGAUUUAUUGAUUGAUUGAUUAAUUAAUUAUAUGCUGUCUUUCUCCACAUAGGGCGAUCAGUGGCCAUUCAUCUCAGUGAAGUUGCUCUUGUUUGAAAAUAUAUGCAAUAAACUAUCUGUCCUGCCGAAUUUAAUAUUCUGCUGUUUUCCCCAGAUGCACACGCCACGGGAACAUCAAUCUAGUUUUAAUGUGACAAGCACAGAGACGGAAUGUUAUGGGAGCAAUUCUCAGAAUGGAGGAGGAGAUGAGUUAUUUCCCAGCAUAGUCAGGACUAGAAGAAGGGAAAACAUGAAAGAAGGAAACAAGGAAAGAAAGGGAAGAAAGGAAAGAAAUAGCUGAAGAUUUUCUUGCCCCCAAAUGAGAACAUCUAUCCCUCAGGUGGCACCACAGCUCCAGAAUGUCUUGGAUGAGCCAUGUAGCGACUGGUGUGCAAUUUAUGACUCUUGAUGAAAACCUCAGUCCAUCAUCCUACCUCUCUCACCUGAAAGGGCCAAGAGUUCCAUAGAAGCCAAUGGGGACAGCGGCACAACAAACAGCUCGACCCAAGAGGCCAAGGAAAACAGGGAGGAACCAACAGGGUGGGUUCAGAGAGAUCUCCGCUGGGGGUGUCUUGACAUCAUAGCUCGUUCCUUCUUUCCUCCUCUCAGCCCUUCCCUUGGGGCCCUACGCGACUCUGAGGUGUACAAUGGCAAGGUUGCCCUCCGUCUCCGACACCUUCACUGCUGUCGAUGUGUAUAUCGAUGUUGAGGUCCCGGGCCAAGGGAUUCUCUCCAUUCCCAACUCAGCCGGCUCCAUCAACCCGCCCUGCCUGGCCAACUUUAAGUCCUGCCAGUCUUUCCAUCCGGAACUCUUCAACAUUGUGCUGUCCGUUUUAGCUCCAAAAGAGCCCCAAGAACUGAGCUGCACCCCAGACAAGUUCAGUGGAGCCGAUGAUCUGAGGAAUGCCAUUUUGCUUGUUGUACCCCUUGAGGUGAGUGAGUUCUUAGAAGCCCAGCUUGGCAUGAGUCCCAUUGCUUUCAUGCUCGGCCACUGCAAAACCAGGCGCCUGAAGGGUCAGUUUCCAAAAGAACGUGAUGCAAUGGCUCACAUGCAGGAACCCCCCUCUUUCUGGGGGACCCUUUCUUCUAAUUCCUAUUAUACAGUUGCCAACAGUUUUUCCCCUAAGAGAUGCUCAAUGCAUUUAAGAGUAGGCGGAAAUUCAAAAGGCAGGUUCCCUCCAUUGUUAGAUGUGGGGAAAACAUUGCCCGCUGAAACUCUAAUUUUUUUGCAAGAAAUCCUGGCAGAAUAUCUGAAGGACCGUAUCUCCCCAUACAAGCCUAUUCAGCAUUUAAGAUUAUCAGAGGAGGUCCUUCUACCAGGCAUGGCUGAUGGGGACACGGGAGAGGGCUUUCUCUGUGGCCACUUCCAGGUUAUGGAAGGCUCUCCCUCCUUUUUAUCCUUCUGCCGACACCAGAAGAUGCAUCUCUUCAGGCAGGCUUUCGACCAUCAUGGUUGA
rnacentral:lncRNA from 1 species